rnacentral:tRNA from 1 species
GCGGGUGUAGUUCAAUGGUAGAACUUCAGCCUUCCAAGCUGACCACGCGAGUUCGAUUCUCGUCACCCGCUCCA